GUUCCACUCAAAUUAAAAUACAACCUUUCUUGCAAUGAGAAUGUUUUCUGUUAAAAGUCAAAUGCUUCGAUUCCUUCCUUACCUACUCAGUACCUUGAAAAAGACAACAGCCAGUCUGUAGUCAAAAGGAAAGUCUGAGGAAAAAAUAUUCUGUCCAGAAUAAAAUUAUUACUAAUUUAUCAAGGAUUAUCGGCUUCUGUAAGAAAUUACGUAAUUAGGUAGAUGUGUAUGAGUUCAGUCUCCUUGCUUGUACAGCCAGUACAUGAUGUCAUUGUUUGGCAAGAGGUUCCUCUACUGCACUUCAAAUUAAAUUUUAAAAAAGUACUGACCGUUUUUUGUAAAGGAAAUGCAUUUUUGGUUUUUGCUUCAUACUUAGGGGGAGAAAAAAAGAGCAAAACAGCUAGAGAAUGAUUUUUCUCAGCUGUGUCACUGGCCCUAUUAAUACUCUCUCCCCGUGCAGACAGCAGUUGCUUGUGCCAUCUGAGUUAGCGCUCGGUGAAUCAGCUUUCAAGGGCUGGGCGAAGCCAGAGGCAGGACUGAGACCACCUCACACUGCCAACCCCUCCUAACUCGUCCAGCCCCACUCUCUCCCUCCCUCCCUGUCUGCUCCCAGUGCUCUUGCCUGCACACUCCUCCUCUCUCCACUCUGCCGUUGGAAGUUUCCUUUGGGUGUCUCCUUGUCCUCGAUCCUGCCGGUCUCGGGCUGAGGGCUGUGCCCAGUUGGUGUUGGGGUUCUGAGAAGACGGUCACCAUGUGCAGAGUCCGGCUCCUGUUGUGCCUGGCCUUGGUGGGGUCCCUCUGUGCCCUCUCUCACACAGCCUCAACUGCUGGCCCAGAGUUCAGCUCGGCAUCACCACUCACGACAAGGGAAGAGGGACUAGAGAAAAGAGCUACGUCCCAGCCGCCAGAGGAGGCAGCCACAGCUCCUGCAGGCACUACGGUCCUGGUGGGCUCAGCACUCUCCACGAGCACAUCGGACCCUGUGAGUACAUCGGUCCCCGCAGGCACAGGGAUCGACACGGAGGAGCACAGUGAGACAGGCGCACCUCAGAGCAGCACAGCCCUGCAGAGCACCGAUGAGGACAGCGCCACACCCACAGCACAGGAAGCCCGCCCAGCGUUCUGGAAGCAGGACAGUGUCAUUUCCUGUCAAACACCAACAUCAUCCCGACGGCCACAUAGAACAGCCAGGAUUCUAGAAUGUCUCUGGGGUGGGGAGGAAUGCUGCCCCCUGGAGGACACAUUGACACACUGCAGCCUUCAGCACAGUCUCAUAUCCCUUACAGAUAUGACUCUGAAUGGCAGGAUCUGUAAACACAUUUUUAAAGAUCUGCCUUGCAGUCAGAAAGCCCACAUUAUCAGAGUUCAUUGGCUCCAAUAGUUUACAUUGGCAACCACAAAUUAAAGAACAAACAAAAGAGCAGAUUCCUUGAAACCCCCCUUCAAGCAAAUAUUAAAUAUUGAUUUAGAGGAGGACCAUCAUACACUACAUGAAUAGACAGAGAGGAGAAUUAUUGGUAAGUUCUUAGUCAUUUAUGAACAUGAAGUAAGAAACCACAACAGAAGAAUAUAAUUAGAAAAUCACAUCUAAUAAUGUAUGUGACCACAACCUACAGUAAAAUACUCCUCACGCUACAAAUGAGAUUUUACAUCCUAAAUUGGGUGUGUUUGAUUCCUGGAAUGUAGUGUCUAUUUUUGGCAGUUCCUUACUUCAUGAUUGUGACUAACCAAAGACGAGACUGGUGAUUUCACCUCUGGCAGUGUAUUCAUGGGCUAUUGUACAGCUCUGCUCUAGCCCCACACACAGUUUACACGCAGUUUUUUUAAGGAGUUUCAGCAAAAAUGUUUUUUUUUUCCAACUAAAUGUAGUUUGAAAAAUCACAAAUUAGCCUGUAAAAAGCGAGCCGUGUUUUGCUGAACCAUCUUGAGGUACACAGAGUGCGCAUCUUGUAAUUAUGUAAAGAUGUGUUAUACUGUAGCUAAUCUGUGCAACACUGUCCAUGGAACGCUUGGCACUAUGUACCCUACUGGGUUAAAUGCCUCAGUUUCCCCUAAAACAGGGCCAUGAAGAAGCUAUAUAAUCACACUCACCUCCUACCAAACACUUAACUCCUACUGUAGUUCUUCCCCAGUCGCUCAGAGAGUGGAAAAGGUUGAAGAUAUGUGUCUUGGCCCAAGGGUCAAGGUACCCAAUGAAUAUUCCCCAUUCUUCAACGCUGCUCUUCUCCUGUUGAGUCAUGAAAGUGUCAGGUUUCUAAGCAGGAGUGCAGUCUGCCCGUGGCUAGUCCGAUAAUGCCCACUUGUAGAGCUUCAUUCAAAUUAUUCUCCUCUGCAGUAAGUAAUGAGGCCAAACCUUUUUAGUCAAUUUCAUCCUAAUCUGGUGAAACAAACCUCAAAGGAGCUAGUCUUAAACAUUUGUUUUCCUGUUAACGGGAGUAAGAGUUCGAGUAAAUGUCUAGGUAAAAGCCUUAGUCAGUUAUCAGUGCACGACGUUAAUCUGAAUGGCGUCUUGAAGUCUUCCCGACAGGCUGUGAGGUUCUGCUGAGGCUUCACAAUGCGCCUCUGCUUUACAUACAAACUCUAGGCCUUUGUUUGUCGCAGGGUUAAAUUGUUGCAGUUGAGUUUGUUUUCUUCUGUAAUUGCAAAAUUUUCUUCUUUUACUGUUUAAAACAAAAUAAAGAAACACAACGUGUCCUCUGUGGUGAAGACUGCUUUCUUUUACCAACUGCUUGCAAAGGGGGUAAGAGCUUCAUUAAGUGUCGGUGCUCAGGACCAAAGCCGCUGGACUUUUUCAGAGAAUCUGUUAUCCUUUAGUUUCCAGUCUCCACCCUAAUGCGGGCUCUUUGUUCACUGCUUAUCUAGAGCUGGCUUAUUCCUAGUAAGAGCUGGGCAGAACCAACACAACUCACCUCCCAGUCAACGCCAUUCCUGUAGUCAUUGGCAACCUUGUGCUGUGGGGAUGCUUCCUCACAGCAGGCACUGGAAAAUGUGUAAGGAUUGAAGGGAACGUUGUGGGAAAUACUAGAAGAAGACUGGGUUCAGUCUUUUAAAGGCUAAAAAAAUGGGGAAGAUAUUCACCUUUUCCACCGGACAAAGACCCAAAGUCUAAAGGGCAAGGCGGCCUUGGGAAGCUCAGCAUGAAUGUCUUUGAGUGGCCCAGUGAAAAUCAUGACUGGAAUCCUACUGAGAAUCUGUGGAAAGACUUCAAAGCUGUCCAACGUGACAGAGCUUGAGCAAAUCCACUCCCACAAAUGGGUACAAACUGCAA
rnacentral:lncRNA from 1 species